UGCCCCUUUGUGGUCGGUGUACAGGUGGUGCAUGGUUGUCGUCAGCUCGUGUCGUGAGAUGUUGGGUUAAGUCCCGCAACGAGCGCAACCCUCGUCCUAUGUUGCCAGCGGGUCAUGCCGGGGACUCAUGGGAGACUGCCGGGGUCAACUCGGAGGAAGUGGGAUGACGUCAAAUCAUCAUGCCCCUUAUGUCUUGGGCUUCACGCAUGCUACAAUGGCCGGUACAAAGGGCUGCGAUACCGCGAGGUGGAGCGAAUCCCAGAAAGCCGGUCUCAGUUCGGAUUGGGGUCUGCAACUCGACCCCAUGAAGUCGGAGUCGCUAGUAAUCGCAGAUCAGCAACGCUGCGGUGAAUACGUUCCCGGGCCUU
rnacentral:rRNA from 1 species